GCCGGGCGUGGUGGCACACGCCUGUAGUCCCAGCUGCUUGGGAGGCUGAGGCAGGAGAAUCGCUUGAACCUGGGAGGUGGAGGUUGCAGUGAACUGAGAUUGCACCACUGCACUCCAGCCUGGGUGACAGAGCGAGACUCUGUCUCAA
rnacentral:SRP_RNA from 1 species